rnacentral:rRNA from 1 species
GACGAACGCUGGCGGCGUGCUUAAUACAUGCAAGUCAACUUGACUUUAGAUAGCAAUAUCGAAAAGUAGGGUGGCGCACGGGUGCGUAACGCGUAGGUAAUCUGCCCUGAGGUCUGACAUAACCCGUCGAAAGGCGGGCUAACAUCAGAUGAUAUAUAAUCACGACAUCGUGGAAAAUAUCAAAUCUUCGGAGCCUUGGGAUGAGCCUGCGUCUGAUUAGGUAGUUGGCGGAGUAAUAGCCCACCAAGCCUACGAUCAGUAGCUGGUCUGAGAGGAUGAUCAGCCACACUGGAACUGAGACACGGUCCAGACUCCUACGGGAGGCAGCAGUAAGGAUAUGCUCAAUGGGGAACCCUGAAGCAGCAACGCCGCGUGAAGGAUGAAAUACUUUUGUAUGUAAACUUCU